UGCCCCAUGGCUGAGUUGGUUACAGCGUCCGACUGUUAAGUUUGUAGCUCCUAAAACCUACUGCUUGUGUAAUCGGAAGGUCGAGAGUUCGAGCCUCUCUGGGGCAG